UACGGAGGGUGCAAGUGUUAUUCGGAAUCACUGGGCGUAAAGAGCACGUAGGCGGAUGGGUAAGUCAGAUGUGAAAUCCCGGGGCUCAACUUCGGAACUGCAUUUGAUACUGCCCGUCUUGAGUGUGGUAGAGGGGGAUGGAAUUCCCGGUGUAGAGGUGAAAUUCGUAGAUAUCGGGAGGAACACCAGAGGCGAAGGCGAUCCCCUGGGCCAUUACUGACGCUGAGGUGCGAAAGCGUGGGGAGCAAACAGGAUUAGAUAACCCCUGUAGUCC
rnacentral:rRNA from 1 species